AAAAGUUUUCAAAAAAGUUUCUAACUUUUUAAUAGUGAUUAAAUCAUUAAACUUUUA
rnacentral:tRNA from 1 species